UACAGAGGUCUCAAGCGUUGUUCGGAUUCAUUGGGCGUAAAGGGUGCGUAGGCGGCGCGGUAAGUCGGGUGUGAAAUCUCGGAGCUUAACUCCGAAACUGCAUUCGAUACUGCCGUGCUUGAGGACUGGAGAGGAGACUGGAAUUUACGGUGUAGCGGUGAAAUGCGUAGAUAUCGCUUGGAACGCCAAUGGUGAAAACAGCUUGCUGGGGGUGUGCUGACGCUGAGACACGAAAGCCAGGGGAGCAAACGGG
rnacentral:rRNA from 1 species